rfam:Paenisporosarcina sp. HGH0030 genomic scaffold acAqH-supercont1.1, whole genome shotgun sequence.
AGGUAAUAGAAUAGGUACUCAAGGGUGGUUGGCUCACUCCCGUUAGAAAGGGGGUGGUGCCAUGUCAGUAUUCGAAGCAUUAAUGUUUGCAUUAUCGUUCGCAGCAUUGAUUGUGUCAAUUCUGUCUUUUAACCAUAAAAAAUAACCCAUCCUUGAGUUAGCCGCUCAGAUGGGUUAUUCCUACCAUUUUGUAGCCAAUCCCCUUGAUGGGAACCUGCUAUUACGUCGAUCGUUGGUGUUAGCGCACCAGCG